UACGGAGGGUGCAAGCGUUAAUCGGAAUUACUGGGCGUAAAGCGCACGCAGGUGGCUGAGUCAGUCGAAUGUGAAAUCCCCGGGCUUAACCUGGGAAUUGCGAUGGUGACUGCAAGGCUAGAAUCUGGCAGAGGGGGGUGGGAAUUCCGCGUGUAGCAGUGAAAUGCGUAGAUAUGCGGAGGAACACCGAUGGCGAAGGCAAUCCCCUGGGCCUGCACUGACGCUCAUGCACGAAAGCGUGGGGAGCAAACAGG
rnacentral:rRNA from 1 species